GACGGAGGGGGCUAGCGUUGUUCGGAAUUACUGGGCGUAAAGAGUGCGUAGGCGGUUUAGUAAGUUGGAAGUGAAAGCCCGGGGCUUAACCUCGGAAUUGCUUUCAAAACUACUAAUCUAGAGUGUAGUAGGGGAUGAUGGAAUUCCUAGUGUAGAGGUGAAAUUCUUAGAUAUUAGGGGGAACACCGGUGGCGAAGGCGGUCAUCUGGGCUACAACUGACGCUGAUGCA
rnacentral:rRNA from 1 species